rnacentral:tRNA from 1 species
AUCUUUUUAGUAUAAAUAGUAUAUUUAACUUCCAAUUAAAAGGCUUAAUUAAAUUAAAAAAGAUA